rnacentral:rRNA from 14 species
GAUAUUCAAUUUUAGCAGGUAAAGCGAAUGAUUAGAGGCAUCGGGGGUGAAACAUCCUCGACCUAUUCUCAAACUUUAAAUAGGUAAGAAGUCCUUGCCACUUGAUUGGGCAUGGGCAUUGAAUUGGAGUUCCAAGUGGGCCAUUUUUGGUAAGCAGAACUGGCGAUGCGGGAUGAACCGAAAGUCGUGUUAAGGUGUUUAACUGUCGGCUCAUGUAGACCCCACAAAGGGUGUUGGUUCAUAUAAACAGCAGGACGGUGGCCAUGGAAGUCUGAAUCCGCUAAGGACUGUGUAACAACUCACCUGCCGAAUGAACUAGCCCUGAAAAUGGAUGGCGCUGAAGUGCAGUACCGAUACUAAGCCAUUGCAGCAAAUUCGAAGCUGCGAUGAGUAAGAGGGCGUGUCCGUCACGUGUAGAAGCCUUUGGUGUGAACCUGGGUGGAACGG